UGGGAGAGGUGUCUACCUGUAUUAUCGUGCUGAUCAUUGAGCAUGGGAGAGGUGUCUACCUGUAUUAUCGUGCUGAUCAUUGAGCAUGGGAGAGGUGUCUACCUGUAUUAUCGUGCUGAUCAUUGAGCAUGGGAGAGGUGUCUACCUGUAUUAUCGUGCUGAUCAUUGAGCAUGGGAGAGGUGUCUACCUGUAUUAUCGUGCUGAUCAUUGAGCAUGGGAGAGGUGUCUACCUGUAUUAUCGUGCUGAUCAUUGAGCAUGGGAGAGGUGUCUACCUGUAUUAUCGUGCUGAUCAUUGAGCAUGGGAGAGGUGUCUACCUGUAUUAUCGUGCUGAUCAUUGAGCAUGGGAGAGGUGUCUACCUGUAUUAUCGUGCUGAUCAUUGAGCAUGGGAGAGGUGUCUACCUGUAUUAUCGUGCUGAUCAUUGAGCAUGGGAGAGGUGUCUACCUGUAUUAUCGUGCUGAUCAUUGAGCAUGGGAGAGGUGUCUACCUGUAUUAUCGUGCUGAUCAUUGAGCAUGGGAGAGGUGUCUACCUGUAUUAUCGUGCUGAUCAUUGAGCAUGGGAGAGGUGUCUACCUGUAUUAUCGUGCUGAUCAUUGAGCAUGGGAGAGGUGUCUACCUGUAUUAUCGUGCUGAUCAUUGAGCAUGGGAGAGGUGUCUACCUGUAUUAUCGUGCUGAUCAUUGAGCAUGGGAGAGGUGUCUACCUGUAUUAUCGUGCUGAUCAUUGAGCAUGGGAGAGGUGUCUACCUGUAUUAUCGUGCUGAUCAUUGAGCAUGGGAGAGGUGUCUACCUGUAUUAUCGUGCUGAUCAUUGAGCAUGGGAGAGGUGUCUACCUGUAUUAUCGUGCUGAUCAUUGAGCAUGGGAGAGGUGUCUACCUGUAUUAUCGUGCUGAUCAUUGAGCAUGGGAGAGGUGUCUACCUGUAUUAUCGUGCUGAUCAUUGAGCAUG